ACUCAACCUGUGUAUGCACUGUAUUCAUCAUAUACAUAAACAUUAAUCCCUCUGUGGGAUUUCAUCAAAGCCUCAAUGGCAAUAUAAAAUCUGUGUUGAGUUGGUUCACAUAUACAUCAUAUAAUAAGAUCAUGUACAUACCAAGGGAUUAACAUAUACUAUGGUCAAGCACAAAUCUAUCCUCAAUAACAUAGUUACAUAAACAUAACUGUUCAAAACUUUACAUUACAUUCUUAUCAUAUGUCAUGUCCACAUACUCUAGCUAUUACAUACAUAUGACUUGACUUCACUCUAGCCGACUUCUUGAUCCCUCCUGUACCUGCAACUCUGGGGAUAAUGGGAGUGGGGUGAGCUAAAAGCCCAGUGAGCGGAAACUAAAAACAUUUGUUUUAAUUCCUCCAUUUUUAGGUACAUUAUUAUUCAUUUUUAUUUUUAUUAUCAAAUA
rnacentral:lncRNA from 1 species